rnacentral:rRNA from 1 species
GAUGAACGCUAGCGACAGGCCUAACACAUGCAAGUCGAGGGGCAGCACAUGAGUAGCAAUACGAUGGUGGCGACCGGCGCACGGGUGAGUAACACGUAUGCAACCUGCCUUCUACUAUGGGAUAACCCGUUGAAAGACGGACUAAUACCGUAUAAUACAGGGGCUCCGCAUGGAGAUAGUUGUUAAAGAUUUAUUGGUAGAAGAUGGGCAUGCGUAUGAUUAGAUAGUUGGUGAGGUAACGGCUCACCAGGUCAACGAUCAUUAGGGGUUCUGAGAGGAAGGUCCCCCACACUGGUACUGAGACACGGACCAGACUCCUACGGGAGGCAGCAGUGAGGAAUAUUGGUCGAUGGACGAGAGUCUGAACCAGCCAAGUCGCGUGAAGGAAGACGGUUCUAUGAAUUGUAAACUUCUUUUGUGCAGGAAUAAAGUGGGUUACGUGUAACCUUUUGUAUGUACUGUACGAAUAAGGAUCGGCUAACUCCGUGCCAGCCGCCGCGGUAAAAC